GCCCCCGUAGUUCAAUGGAUAGAACGCAAGCCUUCUAAGCUUGAUAUGUAAGUUCGAUUCUUACCGGGGGUACCA
rnacentral:tRNA from 1 species